CCUACGGGUGGCAGCAGUGAGGAAUAUUGGUCAAUGGACGAGAGCCUGAACCAGCCAAGCCGCGUGAAGGACGAAUGCGCCAAGCGUUGUAAACUUCUUUUGUCUGGGAAUAAAAGGUUCCACGUGUGGCGUUUUGAGUGUACCCUAUGAAUAAGCAUCAGCUAACUCCGUGCCAGCAGACGCGGUAAUACGGAGGAUCCUAUCGUUAUCCGGAUUUAUUUGGUUUAAAGGGUGCAUAGGUGGAUCGUGAAGUCAGUUGGGAAAGUUUGCGGCUCAACCGUAGAAUGGCCGUUGAACCUGGCGGACUAGAGUAGAGGAGAGGUCGGCGGAAUGCGUGGUGUAGCGGUGAAAUGCUUAGAUAUCACGAAGAACUCCGAUUGAGAAGGCAGCGUACUGGACUGGAACUGACGCUGAGGCACGAAAGUGUGGGUAUCGAACAGGAUUAGAUACCCGUGUAGUC
rnacentral:rRNA from 1 species